GGCGGCGGGGUGCGACCCACAGAGAGCUCCUCAGACGCCCGGACCGGGGUGUUGGCGGUGCGGACAACCGGGUCACCUGCGCCGCGAGUGCCCGCUCAUGGAGGUGGGGCAGGUGGUUCGUGUUGUCGGCCCGCCCACCUCUGCUCCCGACCCAGACGGAGCGUACUGUAUUCCGACCGACGCGUCGGACAGAGGGCUGGGGGCUGUUUUGACCCAGCAGGUGGAGGGAGUCGACCGCCCCGUGCUGUACAUUAGCCGAAAACUGUCACAACGGGAGGCGAAGUACAGCACGGUGGA